rnacentral:rRNA from 1 species
UACGUAGGGUGCGAGCGUUGCCCGGAUUUAUUGGGCGUAAAGAGCUCGUAGGCGGCUUGUCACGUCGAUUGUGAAAGCUCGGGGCUUAACCCCGAGUCUGCAGUCGAUACGGGCUAGCUAGAGUGUGGUAGGGGAGAUCGGAAUUCCUGGUGUAGCGGUGAAAUGCGCAGAUAUCAGGAGGAACACCGAGGGCGAAGGCAGGUCUCUGGGCCACUACUGACGCUGAGAAGCGAAAGCAUGGGGAGCGAACAGG